rnacentral:ncRNA from 1 species
AUCCGACAAAGGCAAACCUGCUGAAAGGCAGGGACGCAAAGCCAUGGGUCUAAGGGCACACGCCUACGAUCGCCAGGUUGCCGAA